UACGGAGGAUCCAAGCGUCGUCCGGAUUUAUUGGGUUUAAAGGGUGCGUAGGCGGACUUAUAAGUCAGAGGUGAAAGCCGGUAGCUUAACUAUCGAAUUGCCUUUGAAACUGCAAGUCUUGAAUUUUGUUGAGGUAGGCGGAAUGUAUCAUGUAGCGGUGAAAUGCAUAGAUAUGAUACAGAACACCGAUUGCGAAGGCAGCUUACUAAGCAAAUAUUGACGCUGAGGCACGAAAGCGUGGGGAUCAAACAGG
rnacentral:rRNA from 1 species